AUUAAAUAUUAAGGUAUAAAUACUUGUUUUUGAUUGAGAUCUAUUAAAACAUUUUAAAAGUUAGUAAAGGUGAUUAAACUUUAUUUUGUUAUACCGCAGAGAAAGUACUGUGAAGGAAUAUAAGUAAAUUAUAAAAAAGAAAAGAUAAAAACUUGUACCUUUUGCAUCAUGGUUUAACUAGAUAUUUAUUUUAUAUUUAAAUGUCUCGAAAUCUAAUGAGCUAUUUUUAUUCAAUGUAUUAGAAAAUAGGGAUUAAUUGUGGCAAAAAUUUUCCUAGAAAUAAAAAUAGAAAUGAAAUUUUAUUCGUAUUAGAUGAUAGCUAGUUCUUCUAAAAGGCAUAUAAGUGCUUUAAAUUAAUUUUAUUUUUAUGAUAAUAAAAUAAAACAAAUUUUAAUUUAGUUAAAUUUUUGAGGAUAAGCUCGAAAAUUGUAUAUCAUGUUUGCAUAUUAUUUUAAUUAAAAUUUAAGCCUGAAAAUAGCUACAAUUUUGAUUUUGUUACAAUUUCAUUAAGUAUAUUGAAAAAGAAUUGAUUUGCUUAAUAAUAAACGAAGAAAACUUUAGAACUAAAAUAAGUUGAACCUAUGUUAAAAUGAGUAUUAAUUAAUGUAUAAACCUUUAAUAUUGUAUAGUUUAAAGCCAAUAUUUUUAUAUUAAAUUUUAAAUCAUAAAAAGGAACUCGGCAAAUACAUAUUCUGCCUGUUUAGCAAAAACAUGGCUCCCUGUCAAAAGUAAAUAGGGAGUCGGACCUGCCCGGUGAAUUUUUUUAACGGCCGCGGUACUCUGACCGUGCAAAGGUAGCAUAAUCAUUUGCCUUAUAAUUGAAGGCUAGUAUGAAUGGUUUGACAAGAAUAUAGCUGUCUCUUUAUGAUUUAGUAGAAUUUUAUUUUCAGGUGAAGAAGCCUGUAUUGAAUUAAAAGACAAGAAGACCCUAUCGAGCUUAAAAAAAAUCAGCGGACUAAUAAGCUGAUAUAACUAAAAAACCAACCAUUGAAAAUUUUAGUUGGGGCGACUGAGGAACAAGAAAAGCUUCCUUUAUACACUAAAGACAUACGAGUCUUGAUCCAAAACAUUUUGAUUAAAGAAAUUAGUUACCGUAGGGAUAACAGCAUUAUCUUUUUUAAGAGUUCUUAUCGAAAAAAAGGUUUGUGACCUCGAUGUUGGACCAGAAUAUCCUAAAGAUGCAGCAGUCUUUAAGGGUUGGUCUGUUCGACCAUUAAAAUUCUACGUGAUCUGAGUUCAGACCGGCGUGAGCCAGGUCAGUUUCUAUCUUUAAUUUUUAAAAUAAACUUAGUACGAAAGGACCAGCUUAUUGUAAGAUUUACUAAAAAUGAUAUUAUGUAAUAUGUAAUUUAA
rnacentral:rRNA from 1 species